rnacentral:rRNA from 1 species
GACGAACGCUGGCGGCGUGCCUAAUACAUGCAAGUCGAGCGCAGGAAGCCGUCCGAACCCUUCGGGGGGACGACGGUGGAAUGAGCGGCGGACGGGUGAGUAACACGUAAAGAACCUGCCCAUAGGUCUGGGAUAACCACGAGAAAUCGGGGCUAAUACCGGAUGUGUCAGCGGACCGCAUGGUCCGCUGAUGAAAGGCGCUCCGGCGUCGCCCAUGGAUGGCUUUGCGGUGCAUUAGCUAGUUGGUGGGGUAACGGCCCACCAAGGCGACGAUGCAUAGCCGACCUGAGAGGGUGAUCGGCCACACUGGGACUGAGACACGGCCCAGACUCCUACGGGAGGCAGCAGUAGGGAAUCUUCCACAAUGGACGAAAGUCUGAUGGAGCAACGCCGCGUGAACGAUGAAGGCUUUCGGGUCGUAAAGUUCUGUUGUAAGGGAAGAACAAGUGCCGCAGGCAAUGGCGGCACCUUGACGGUACCUUACGAGAAAGCCACGGCUAACUACGUGCCAGCAGCCGCCGUAA